GACGAACCGUGCGAACGUUGUUCGGAAUCACUGGGCAUAAAGGGCGCGUAGGCGGGCCGUAAAGUCAGGGGUGAAAUCCUCCAGCUUAACUGGAGAACUGCCUUUGAUACUGACGGCCUCGAGUGAGGUAGGGGCGUGCGGAACUGAUGGUGGAGCGGUGAAAUGUGUUGAUAUCAUCAGGAACUCCGGUGGCGAAAGCGGCACGCUGGACCUCUACUGACGCUGAGGCGCGAAAGCCAGGGGAGCAAACGGG
rnacentral:rRNA from 1 species